rnacentral:tRNA from 1 species
GGCCCCAUCGUCUAGCCUGGCCUAGGACAUCAGACUUUCGAUCUGACGACGGGGGUUCGAAUCCCCCUGGGGUCACCA